UUAAGAUACUCAAUGUAUACGGCGGAUGCCUAGGGUCUUUGUGCUGAUGAAGGACGUGCAAGGCUGCGUUAAGCCUCGAGAAGCUGCCAAGAAGCGUUAUACUCGGGGAUUUCCGAAUGGGGUAACCUGGCUCGUGGCAACACGAAGUCACCUAUUACUAAAAGUUCCGCAAGGAAUUAUAGGUAAUACGGAAGGUACUCGGCGAACUGAAACAACUUAGUAGCCGGAGGAAACAAGACAAAUUAAUGUAUUUCCUGAGUAGCGGCGAGCGAAAGGGAAGGAGCCUAAACCUAAGUUGGGUAGAAAAACACGGCUGGAAAGCCGGGCCAUAGAGAGUAACAGCCUCGUAUUCGAAACCUAAAUACCUUCUUGGGUUUAUCCGGAGUAGCAUGGGGCACGUGAAACCCUGUGUGAAUAAACCAGGACCGACUGGUAAGGCUAAAUACGCAAAGACACCGAUAGAGAACAAGUACCGUGAGGGAAAGGUGAAAAGUACCCCUGUUAGGGGAGUGAAAUAGUUACUGAAACCGUAUACAAACAAGCUGGCAAAGCCUGCGCAAGCGGGUGAUGCUGUGCCUAUUGAAGAAUGAGCUAGCGAGUUUAUACAACGUGCAAGCUUAAGCAACUAUGUUGCGGAGGCGUAGGGAAACCAAGUCUUAACCGGCGAAUAGUACGUUGUCAUAAGACCAGAAGCCAAGUGAGCUAACCAUGGGCAGGGUGAAGCAUGCAGAAAUGCAGGUGGAGGCCCGAACCGGUGUGCGAGGAAAAGCGCUCGGAUGACCUGUGGUUAGGGGUAAAACGCUUAUCGAACUUGGCGAUAGCUGGUUCUCCCCGAAAUAUAUUUAGGUAUAGCCUUGAUCAAGCUGACACGCGAGGUAGAGAUACUGAAAAGGGCUGGGGCGGGCGACCGUACCCACUCUUACCAAACUCCGAAUGCGCGUGUACCAGUGGUCGGGAGUCAGUACUGCGGGGCAAUCUCGUGGUACGAGAGGGAAACAACCCAGACCAUCGGAUAAGGUCCCUAAUUUUUGCUUAGUGGGCAAGGAAGUGGAGUUGUUCGGACAGCUAGGAGGUUGGCUUAGAAGCAGCCACCCUUUAAAGAAAGCGUAACAGCUCACUAGUUUAACGACUCUGCGCCGACGAUUUAACGGGGCUAAAGCAAAAAACCGAAGCCGUGGAUCCGCCUCUUUUAGGGGUUGGAUGGUAGGGGAGCAUUGAUGUCUGCCAUGAAGGUGUAUCGCGAGGUAUGCUGGAGCGUCAUCAAGUGAGAAUGCUAGCAUGAGUAACGAGAGGAAGGUGAAAACCCUUCCCGCCAAAAGUCUAAGGGUUCCUCCGCAAUGCCAGUCAACGGAGGGUUAGUCGACCCUAAGGUGAGGCCGAAAGGCGUAGCCGAUGGAUAGCAGGUUAAUAUUCCUGCACUACCGUAAGAUCGUUCGACCAAUGGAGGGACGGAGACCGAUGAACUGAGCCCAUUAUGGAUUUGGGUCCAGAAGGCAAGUCAGUCCGUGUAGGAAAAUCCGCACGGGCGUUUAUACGAGCCGGUGGAUAGGCCCCUAAAAAGGCCGAUUCAGUCUCAUUGGACUUCCGAGAAAAGCUUCUAGGGAGAUCUUACGUGUAUUCGUACCGCAAUCCGACACAGGUAGACGGGUAGAGAAUACCAAGGUGAACGAGAGAAUCAUGGUUGAGGAACUAGGCAAAUUACGUCCGUAACUUAGGGAAAAGGACGCCCUGCGCGAGCAGGGGGCACAGAAAUGGCUCAAGCGACUGUUUAACAAAAACACAGGUCUCUGCUCAACUCGUAAGAGGAAGUAUAGGGGCCGACGCGUGCCCAGUGCCCGUAAGUUAAAUCUGGAGGUGAUUUCCAUCUUGUAUGGAAUGAGCUUUCGGUACAAGCUCGGGUGAACGGCAGCAGUAACUAUAACUGUUCUAUGGUAGCGUAAUCCCUUGCCGGGUAAGUUCCGGCCUGCACGAAACGCGUAACGACUUGAGCGCUCUCUUAAUCAUGAACUCGGUGAAAUUGAACUACCGGUGAAGAUGCCGGUUACUCGUUGUUGGACAAAAAGACCCCGUGGAGCUUCACUGCAGCUUGGCAUUGGUAAGUGAUGUCAACUGUGUAGCGUAGGAGGGAGUUUGGGCUUAAAACCCCAAACGUCAAUGAAACACCUCUCUGUUGAUAUUGUGAACCUAACUGUGUGCCGUAAUCCGGCAUGAGGACAAUGUCUGGCAGGCAGUUUAACUGGGGCGGUUUCCUGCUAAAGGGUAACGCAGGAGCUCAAAGGUUCCCUUGGUGCCGAUGGAAAUGGCACUGUAAGUGUAAAGACAUAUGGGAGCUUUACUGCGAGACCUACAAGUCGAGCAGUUACGAAAGUAGGACUUAGUGAUCUUCCGAGUGCUUAUUGGUAAGCCCGGAACUUAACGGAUAAAAGUUACCCCGGGGAUAACAGGCUGAUCUUGCCCGAGCGUCCACAGCGGCGGCAAGGUUUGGCACCGAUGUCGUCUCGUCACAUCCUGGGGCUGAAGUAGGUCCCAAGGGUCCGGCUGUUCGCCGGUUAAAGUGGCGCGUUAGAUGGGUUCAGAGCGUCGUGAGACAGCUCGGUCUCUUUCCACAACAAUCGUGUGAGUUUGAGGGAAUUCGUUCCUAGUACGAGAGGACCGGAAUGAACGAACCUCUGGUGUACCAGUUGUUCCGCCAGGAGCAUCGCUGGGUAGCUACGUUUGGUCGGGAUAAGCGCUGAAAGCAUCUAAGCACGAAGCCCAUCCCAAGAUAAGAACCCUUCCGCGCAAGCGGACGCACCUCCUGGGAGAUCACCAGGUUGAUAGGCCACAGGUGUACGCAUAGUAAUGUGUUUAGCCAAGUGGUACUAAUGGU
rnacentral:rRNA from 1 species